rnacentral:rRNA from 1 species
GCAUAUCAAUAAGCGGAGGAAAAGAAACCAACAGGGAUUACCUCAGUAACGGCGAGUGAAGCGGUAACAGCUCAAAUUUGAAAUCUGGCUCUUUCAGGGUCCGAGUUGUAAUUUGUAGAAGAUGCUUCGGGUGUGGCUCCGGUCUAAGUUCCUUGGAACAGGACGUCAUAGAGGGUGAGAAUCCCGUAUGUGACUGGCUGCCUUCGCCCAUGUGAAGCUCUUUCGACGAGUCGAGUUGUUUGGGAAUGCAGCUCUAAAUGGGUGGUAUAUUUCAUCUAAAGCUAAAUAUUGGCCAGAGACCGAUAGCGCACAAGUAGAGUGAUCGAAAGAUGAAAAGCACUUUGGAAAGAGAGUUAAACAGUACGUGAAAUUGUUGAAAGGGAAGCGCUUGCAACCAGACUUGCACGCCGUCGAUCAUCCUGGGUUCUCCCUGGUGCACUCGGCGGCGUUCAGGCCAGCAUCGGUUUUGGUGGUUGGAUAAAGGCCUUGGGAAUGUGGCUCCUCUCGGGGAGUGUUAUAGCCCUCGGUGCAAUGCAGCCUACCGGGACCGAGGACCGCGCUUCGGCUAGGAUGCUGGCGUAAUGGUUGUAAGCGACCCGUCUUGAAACACGGACCAAGGAGUCUAACAUCUAUGCGAGUGUUUGGGUGUCAAACCCAUACGCGUAAUUAACGUGAACGGAGGUGAGAACCCUUUAGGGUGCAUCAUCGACCGAUCCUGAUGUCUUCGGAUGGAUUUGAGUAAGAGCAUAGCUGUUGGGACCCGAAAGAUGGUGAACUAUGCCUAAAUAGGGUGAAGCCAGAGGAAACUCUGGUGGAGGCUCGCAGCGGUUCUGACGUGCAAAUCGAUCGUCAAAUUUGGGGUAUAGGGGCGAAAGACUAAUCGAACCAUCUAGUAGCUGGUUCCUGCCGAA